AGCCUGGCUAGGUCGUACAGUGACUGACCUGGCUUUUUACCUGCAAGGUCGAGUCAGCCUGCCACACUUUACACAUCUACGCAGUUGAAGCACAAGAUGCAUCUCCAAAAGAGAUAUAGGCGCUCGUCCAUGGCAUAAAUCUGAAACCUUGCCAUUCCUAGUUAGCAUCAAUAACACUAUUUUAGCAUGACUUUUUAUGAGACAAAUUGUAUUUGCCUUUCUAUAGGAUUCAAAUUUGGCCCCUUUUUUAUUUAGCAAAUCAAGUUCCACCAAUCUAUCUUGCUAUAAGGGAGAAGAUUAUAUGUAAUUAAGUUGUUGUUUUGGGAUCUUCAAUAGUCAUGAGCGAUGCUAUUCAUUGUUAGUAGAGUUCACAAAUCUAGGUGGCAGUAGGUCCCUUAAUUCAUUGGAUUAAGAUGCUGCCAUCUCGACCGGUGAUAUUUUUGCUAAAGAUGAAAGCCAAAAUCAUUAAUUCACCCCAAACUUGGCUACUCUUCCUAAAGCUAAAGAGAGCAUUAAAUACCAUAAAAUAAAAUAAAGGAAAAUUGUAGUGGCAAUAUACCACUAUCAAACACUAUGAAACCUGAAAAAUUCAUUAAACUUUGAAAAUACAAGUAUUUUUUAAGUGUUAAUAAAUUGUGGAUUCAUGAAAAGCGUAAAUAAUAAAUGAAUGUUAAGCAGUCAGUCUUAAGGUCGAUUUGGCCUGAAUUUCGUUUUUGCUCUUGCAUCCUGCGGAAGAUCUUUUAGAUGAAGUUACCUUAAUUUGAAAAUUAAUUUUUAAAAGAAUAUUUUUAUAUUUCAAAAGUGUUGUUAGAUGAAGCAACACUGGAGCAGUUUCCUCAUCUGAGUCAUUGUUCAUUUAAUGCGAAUCCAAGGGCAAGAAAUCACAAGGAAAAGUUGUGGGAAUAAAUAGUUAAAUUUAAUUGUUAAGCUAGAAACACUUCCAUAAAAUAAGUCGAAUCGGUUCAAAAGUAGUUUUUGCGUCAUAGAAACUCAUUUUGACUUUUAGGAAGUCAUGCAAAACGAAUCCUCAAUAUAUCAAAGUGUUAUUUUCGUCAAUUUUACUUAACCCACUUCAGACAAUCUAGCUGAACUGGGCUUAGUUUAUUUUUGGCCCAAGUUGUACCAAUCCCAUCGAAAGCCCUUCUACAAAUACAAAUACCAAUGGUGCUAUAAAAGCAUUACUCUACUUGUUAACAGAGAAUGAUAUUUAGUACCAAUUGUAUUACAAUACCGGACUAAAUAAUAUUGGAUGAUAUCAAAUGAUAUUAUUAAUUAAACGAGUCAUCUAUUUUCUACAUUUUACUUUGUCAAUGAAUGAUGUAUAUGAUAUCAAAGGUAGUGCUAAGUAGUAUUAUUAAUAAUAACGAGCUAAUAUAAUCAGUUGUUAUAAUUUUAGUGGAGAUAGUUAAAUGAGGACAAGAGAUUUCGACUCAGGUUAUAGUUGACUUUUUAAUAAAAGUAACUUUUUCACGUUUUUCUAGUCAAAAUUUGGAAAAUUGUUCAAAAAUGCAUAUCUUGGACUUGAAUGAAGUGAAGAAUUUUAAUGUUAAAAAGUCUAAUUUCACAAUUAUAUAAGUUGAGUAGGAAUUGACAUCUUACUAGCGGUUCUAAUCUACUAAGUGUCAGUACCAUAAAAAAUAUGAUUUAAGAAAAUCCAAGAGCAGAAGUAAUUAAAGAUUCUUGGGUCCUCGAUUUUUUUUUCUUUAAAUAAUAGUCAUACUGCAAAUUCUAUUUUUAAAUAACUCAAUUAUACCAAUUAUUCUGAUUUAGCUUUCUUUCAUUUAUUUUAUGUUAAAUAAUUGAAAAAAGCAAUUUUGGUUUUGGAGUGGAAACAUUUCAUAAAUAGAUCCUUCGAUUUGUGACAAAUGGUUUUACAUCAUGAUAUAAUAAUUCAAGAAAUAUUAUUAAGAUCAAAAUAUUAUUGUCAAGUGGUAUUAUUUUAUAAACAAAAAAUUGCAUCAUUGCAUUAACAAUAUAAGAUUUUUUUUUUUAACUAAUCUUUUUUUUUUAAUUCUUUUAAAAUUAGUUAUUAACAUCGAAUAUUUGACUUAAACUUUUACCAAAUUAUGAAAAAUGUAAAUUAAGCUCUAACUUGAAUCGAAAUUGAGAAAGUAAUAAGGACCAUUAAUCUAAUUUAUGACAUUUUUAAACUACAAUAAUUAGAAGAGGCAUUUAAAAUAUCAACUCAUGUGUCUACUUGGAUGAGCUCUACAAUAAUCCAGUAUUAUACUAAUUUAAAUAUGCAGGACGAAAUAAGUUCAAACUUAGAUGAAAUGUUUAGUCUAUUGAAAUACUCCAUGAAAAUGAACAUGUUACAAAUUUGUCGACUUUCUUAAUUUUUUUGCCAUUUUCAUUUUAUCUACCAUACUAAACAUGAACAGAGUCUCAGUUUCCAUCGAGGAAAAUAGUUGGAAAUCAAGAUAUUUUGAGUGUGAAUUUCUGCUCAAUGAUCAUUCCUUUUCGUCCACCUUAUAUACACUUACAAUUCAAUAUAAGCAAUUACAUACAAAAGGAAUAUUCUAGUCCUACCAACAAAGUUCUACCAAGUGGAUAACAAUUUAUAUUCCCACUCCUAAAAAUUGGGAAGUGUGCUGGCUCACACCAUGGAUGUUGCUAGCUGGUUAACUGCUCCUUUUAAAUUGGUUGAGUGGCUCCAACACCCCCCGCCCCCCUACUCCCUGAAGGUGGAAGUGUCUCUACCACUCCAAGCUGGUCUCCAAGGAAUAAGAACCUUGAGUAAGAGAAAGGUUUUGUCAACAAAUCUACUGUCCGAUCUAAUGAUGGAAUAUAACGUAUUUCCAAUUCUCCUCUUACAACUUUAUCUCUCAUGAAAUGAACAUUGAGUUCUAUAUGCUUGUGCGUGCAUGAUAGAUCGGAUUUGAGGCCAAAGCACUUGAACUUAGAUUGUCACACCAAAUUCUUUGAACUAUGUUUUGUAAUAUUUUUAACUCUUCCAUUAGGGACUGAAUCCUUCAAGUCCAAUAUUAGGUCUAAUUGCCUGUUAAACAAUUAAAAUAGUAGAACAAGAUAGUCUAUCUACAGUUAUAAUUUGACUAUCGAAUUAAGUCUGAAUAUUUGGCCUAAAUUGACACGAAAAUGACUUUAUACUUAACAUAAUUUUCUCAAUUUAAAUCCAAUUUCCAGCAUUAAAGUGAAAUUAUACUAGAGCACGUGGAGGCUACGAAGCCCCUGAGCAUUUUAGUUUCCUUUUUAUCUUGAUUGGUUUUGAAGCUUUACGAAUAAAAGUUGAUACGGCACUGCUUAGUUUUUUGACUCUGGCAAAUAUUAGUGAAAUUAAAGUGUCUUUAUCAUUUACACUCGCAUCUCCUUUCCUACUUUGAAUUGUUAUUUUAAAUUUUCAAACUAUCACACUUGUUCAGACCAAAAAUUUCAUAGCCUGAAACAAAAGGAAAUGGAUAAUUCAAGUAAAAAUGCUGUUGGAAACAAAAAAUCUUCAUAGAUUAUAUUCAUUUCAUUGAAGUAUUUAGCAAAAAAAAACCCUUUUUUCAGCAAAUCGUCAUCUAAAGAAUCACAUUAUUUGUCCACUUCAUUCUUUGUGCUUAAUAGUACUUGUCCGUGCUCGACUUCGGUAAGAUGGAUCGAACAACACUCGAAAAUAUAAAAGAAAAGGAAGUUAAAAUCUUGUUAAUUGUGAUGUUCAGUCUUAUUCAAUACUCUGUACAAAACAUGUCUUUUAAGAUGAAGGUUCACAAGCUGAACCAUCUGCCCGUUUAUUCUCAUUGGAAAGAAUUUUGGCAGAUUGAACUAACUUGGCUAUAGCAUGAUCUCUCUUUGCCAUUGAUGGGAGCCUUUCACCUGCCUCGGCAUGCAACUGAACUUCCCAUCCCCUGAAUGCCCCUUUUCUAUUAUAUACUCAGAGCUAAACAACUUCCCAUCCGACAAUAAAGGAUGGCUUUUUCUUUUAAAUUCUACCCUGCCACUUGAUUUUGUUAUCUGGAAAUAGUUGAAUAUUGACAUAAGACACGCAGUUUAAAGAGAGUGACAAAUACAAAAGUCGCUAGACUCUAAAAAUGAUUCAUAACAAUUUAACUACAUGAUUACUGCCCCAUUGUAGUAAACAUCCAUGGUCGUUUCUAAAAUAUGGAAGAUGAAUAUUUUGAUCAUUGCUCUAAUUAAUUUAGGUAUGUCUCGAUUGCAUGUUUUGUACAAGAAAUUCAGAAAGUAAAUCACAAUGUUGUUUCAAAGUUCUAUACCAAUGUCAAGAUCAGCUGCAAAAAGUGGAUUUAUUUAAACAAUUAAAGACUUCGGAGAAAGCUUUGUAUAAACUAUACAUAAAUACAAUUCUGAAGCUUGAAAAUUCGGAAUCCAAGGCUUCAAAGAAAGCCUUACAGAAACUAGUGAUGGCAAAAAAAAACCCUGCUCCAGUGGCUCCGCCCCAAAUGGGGCCAAAAAUACUCUCCCCGAUGGGUUGGUGGGACAGGGAGGGGAUGCCCCGCCCCGUGAAGAGAAAAAUAAUUUCAUUUUACUCUUUUGUUUUUAUAUUCUGUUCAAAAUAAUUUUCAUUAUUAUAUGUGCAAGUGGUAUAUAAAUACAAAAGUGAGUUUGGACAUAUGUGCAGCUUUCUCCACCUAAUUGGUCUAAAUUCAUUGGCACAAUCUAUGAUGCACAUAAAACUACCACCUAAAACUGGGGGCAUUUUCUUUUCUGCUGGUAAAACCUCCCCCCAGUUUCUUUGUAUACAUAUAUAUAAACUCAAUAUUCUCCCCAUUAUUUUUCAUCAUCAUUCAAAUCCAUUGAGCACAAACAGUGAAUAAUUUUAACCGUACGAAAGAAGAAGUUGAAAAUGAGUUCCACAAGCAGGGCUUGGUUAGUGGGAGCAAGCAUUGGAGCUGUUGAGGUUCUGAAAGAUCAGGGAUUCUGUAGAUGGAAUUAUGCAAUGAGGAUACUUCAACAACAUGCCAAGAACAACCUCAGAUCAUACACUCAAGUUAAGAAACUUUCUGGAGCACCCUCUUCAACAAUUAUAUGUAAAAAGAUGAAGGAAGAUCACAGGUUGAAGAAAUCUGAGGAUUCAUUGAGAACGGUUAUGUAUUUGAGCUGUUGGGGACCUAAUUGAAUUGAAUCUCCAAACCCGUAUUUGAGCUGUUGGGUUUCAGUUUCCUCUUCUCUCUUCUAAUUUUUGAUUUGAUGGUUUAUAAUAUAAAUCGUUUCUAUAAUAUAUUUCGUUAUUGUUUUAAUGUUAGUUUUUUAAAUUAGCAAUGAGUCGCAUAAUACACAUUUGAAUGCGGCGGCGGGGUGGGGGGGGGGGGGGGGGGGGGGGGGGGGGCGGUGUACUCGACCCGCUGCCAUCCCUAAUAGAAAGAACAAACAUAUUUGAUUCUCAGCUUAUAAGUUUAGAAUUCACUUACAAAAUUUCAUUCUAAAUGGUGUUCGAGCCUCUCUUGGCUUAACCAACACUCGGCCUGGCUAGGUCGUACAGUGACUGGCCUGGCUUUUUACUUGCAAGGUCGAGUCAGCCUGCCACACUUUUACACCUCUACGCAGUUGAAGCACAAGAUGCAUCUCCAAAAGAGACAUAGGCGCUCGUCCAUGGCAUAAAUCUGAAACCUUGGAAUUCCUAGUUAGCAUCAAUAACACUAUUUUAGCAUUUCUUUUUAUGAAACAAAUUGUAUUUGCCUUUCUAUAGGAUUCAAAUUUAGCCACUCUUUUAUUUAACAAGUUAAGUUCCACCAAUCUAUCUUGCUAUAGGGGAGAAGAUUACAUGUAAUUAAGGUGUUGUUUUGGGAUCUUCAAUGGUCAUGAGUGAUGCUAUUCAUUGUUAGUAGAGAUCACCAAUCUAGGUGGCAGUAGGCCUCUUAAUUCAUUGGAUUAAGAUGCUUAACAACUCCAUUG
rnacentral:lncRNA from 1 species